UACGUAGGGUGCAAGCGUUGCCCGGAUUUAUUGGGCGUAAAGGGCGCGUAGGCGGUCACGCACGUCCGUUGUGAAAUCGCUCGGCUCAACUGGGCGGGGUCAGCGGAUACGGGCAGGCUGGAGUUCGGUAGGGGAGACUGGAAUUCCUGGUGUAGCGGUGAAAUGCGCAGAUAUCAGGAGGAACACCGGUGGCGAAGGCGGGUCUCUGGGCCGAUACUGACGCUGAGGAGCGAAAGCGUGGGGAGCGAACAGG
rnacentral:rRNA from 1 species